CCGAUCACUAGGUUAUAUCCUUACUAAGUAAAAAUCUCAUCACAUUUUUAAAAACAAACUUCUUUCCCGCCGCGUCACCAUUCCUUGUUGUAUGGCGCUCGGUCGAUAAUAUCAUUUCUUUAUUUGUGCAAGAAAAAUCAUAUUAGAAUAAUUUUCAGCGACGUAUAGAUUGAAAUAGAAAUGGGGCUCAAAAAGAAAAAGUAUCAUAAAGACGAUGAAAAUAAUCUAUUAAGAUCAUUGAGAUGUAUGAAAAGAAAACUGUGUGAUCAAGGAGAACAAAUUAAACGUCUUAAAGCAAAAAGUAGAAAAUACUCGUCAACGCAGUCAUCAGAGAGUGACUAGUCGUCAGAUGAAAAAUUGCCCAUAAAAGGACACUUUAAUUCCUCCUGAGCAAUUCUUAAAAAAUUUACCCAAUCCCAGUCAAAAAAUAGCUAAAAAGCCAGUGGAAAAGUCAACUGGCUUACAAAGGUCAACGAACGAAUAAACACCAGCAGUAGCUGCAGACCCUUAAAUUAAAAAUCAGCAAAUAACUACAAAUGGAGCUGAAAAUACAAGUGACAAAAAAUCCGGAGAAAAGAGAUCAAGAAAUGGUGCCAAAUAAAGCAGAAGCAAUUGGAAAGCAGUUGGAUGGUGACAAGGAAAGAACAUCAGCAGUUCAUAGUGAUUUAUGCUUACGUUGAAAAGACGUUCUUAAAGUAGUACUUCCAAUAGAGGAACGCGGGUGAUUUUUUAGAAAGUAUCCAACUCUCGAAAAUUGUUUAACGUUAGAAUUUCAGAAAAUGAAUGCUCAAAUAAAAGCGUCACUUAUAGAGCCAAUCAUAAAUAAACAUAAAAGACUUGUAGAAAAACAGUAAGAAGUCUGCGCUUGCUUAUCUGCCUUGGGACAGUUAAUCAAAGAUUUUUUUUAAAAGGAAAUAUUUAUUUCUGAGUUUUUGUUGGGAAAUAUUUACAGAUGCGUCGCUAAUGAAAUGGGGAGUCCAUUCUGAUGGACAAAGCACAAAUGGUUUUUGGAGUAGAGUCGAUAAGGAGUCUCCAGUUAAUCAUCUUGAAUUAUAUGGAGCUUUCUUCAAAAUAAAAUGUUUUUCAAAUAAUA